GAUGAACGCUAGCGGGAGGCCUAACACAUGCAAGCCGAGCGGUAGAGUUUCUUCGGAAACUUGAGAGCGGCGCACGGGUGCGUAACACGUGUGCAACCUACCUUUAUCUGGGGGAUAGCCUUUCGAAAGGAAGAUUAAUACCCCAUAAUAUAAUGAUUGGCAUCAAUUAUUAUUGAAAACUCCGGUGGAUAGAGAUGGGCACGCGCAAGAUUAGAUAGUUGGUGAGGUAACGGCUCACCAAGUCAAUGAUCUUUAGGGGUCCUGAGAGGGAGAUCCCCCACACUGGUACUGAGACACGGACCAGAAUCCUACGGGAGGCAGCAGUGAGGAAUAUUGGACAAUGGGUGAGAGCCUGAUCCAGCCAUCCCGCGUGAAGGAUGACGGUCCUAUGGAUUGUAAACUUCUUUUGUACAGGGAUAAACCUACCCUCGUGAGGGUAGCUGAAGGUACUGUACGAAUAAGCACCGGCUAACUCCGUG
rnacentral:rRNA from 1 species